ACCCAGGUGGCUCAGUUGGUUGAGCAUCUGACUUCAGCUCAGAUCAUGAUGUCACUGUUUGUGGGUUUGAGCCCCACAUGGGGCU
rnacentral:tRNA from 1 species